AGUGAACGCUGGCGGUAGGCCUAACACAUGCAAGUCGAACGGCAGCACAGUAAGCGCUUGCUCUUACGGGUGGCGAGUGGCGGACGGGUGAGGAAUACAUCGGAUUCUACUUUUUCGUGGGGAUAACGUAGGGAAACUUACGCUAAUACCGCAUACGACCUACGGGUGAAAGCAGGGGAUCUUCGGACCUUUCGCUAUUGCAUGAGCCGAUGUCGGAUUAGCUAGUUGGCGGGGUAAAGGCCCACCAAGGCGACGAUCCGUAGCUGGUCUGAGAGGAUGAUCAGCCACACUGGAACUGAGACACGGUCCAGACUCCUACGGGAGGCAGCAGUGGGGAAUAUUGGACAAUGGGCGAAAGCCUGAUCCAGCAAUACCGCGUGAGUGAAGAAGGCCUUCGGGUUGUAAAGCCCUUUUGUUGGGAAAGAAAAGCAGCAGGUUAAUCCCCGGCUGUUCUGACGGUACCCAAAGAAUAAGCACCGGCUAACUUCGUG
rnacentral:rRNA from 1 species